CUGUGAACGGGUUCGCGUGGAUAUGAAACUUGAUUGUUUCAUUUCAUUACAGUUCAUGUGGGGCGAAUUUUGCAGUGAAAACUACAACUUGGACCCAGCAGUAAACAAGGCGCGCGGUUCGUCAGGCAAAAGAAAAUUGAACAAAAUGGUCGUGCUACAGGUAAUUGUCGACAAAUCCGGCGAGCAGAGGAUCGAAUUAGUGGUGGCGGUGGAGAAAUUCCCCCUUGUGCAUCCAUCAGGAGAGGAGAAAAGUUACCACACAGGUGUCGGACGGAAACGAUCAGUUGAGCUCCGAAG